GAUCUCUUUGAGGCCCAUUAUCGGAAUGAGAACAAUUCAAAUCCUUUAACGAGGAUCUAGCGGAGGGCAAGUCUGGUGCCAGCAGCCGCGGUAAUUCCAGCUCCGCAGGUGUAUAUCUAUGCUGCUGCGGUUAAAAAGCUCGUAGUUGGAUCUGCGUGCUCGGAACUGGUUGGCUCACUGAGUUCAAACUGGUCUCCGGCGCUUUAUUUGCUGGUUUUCCCUUGAUGCUCUUAACCGGGUGUCUCGGGUGGCUAGCGUGUUUACUUUGAAAAAAUUAGAGUGCUCAAUACAGGCGCAAAGCCUUGAAUAGUGGUGCAUGGAAUAAUAGAAUAGGACCUCGGCUCUAUUUUGUUGGUUUUCGGAACACGAGGUAAUGAUUAAGAGGGACAGACGGGGGCAUUCGUAUUGCGACGUUAGAGGUGAAAUUCUUGGAUCGUCGCAAGACGGACGACUGCGAAAGCAUUUGCCAAGAAUGUUUUCAUUAAUCAAGAACGAAAGUUAGAGGUUCGAAGGCGAUCAGAUACCGCCCUAGUUCUAACCGUAAACGAUGCCAACUAGCGAUUCGCAGGCGUUAAACAACGACCUUGCGGGCAGCUUCCCGGAAACGAAAGUGUUCCGGUUCCGGGGGAAGUAUGGUUGCAAAGCUGAAACUUAAAGGAAUUGACGGAAGGGCACCACCAGGAGUGGAGCCUGCGGCUUAAUUGACCCAACACGGGAAGACUCACCCGGCCCGGACACCGUAAGGAUUGACAGAUUGAGAGCUCUUUCUUGAUUCGGUGGGUGGUGGUGCAUGGCCGUUCUUAGUUGGUGGAGCGAUUUGUCUGGUUUAUUCCGAUAACGAACGAGACUCUGGCCUACUAAAUAGUGGGCGGAUUCUUUCUGUCCGCAACACUUCUUAGAGGGACAAGCGGUGUUCAGCCGCACGAGAUUGAGCAAUAACAGGUCUGUGAUGCCCUUAGAUGUCCGGGGCUGCACGCCCGCUACACUGAAGGAAUCAGCGUGCUUUCUGACCUUGCCUGAAAGGGCUGGGUAACCCGAUGAAAAUCCUUCGUGAUUGGGAUAGGGACUUGCAAUUAUUUCCCUUGAACGAGGAAUUCCCAGUAAGUGUGGGUCAUAAGCUCGCGUUGAUUACGUCCCUGCCCUUUGUACACACCGCCCGUCGCUGCCCGGGACUGAGCCGUUUCGAGAAGAACAGGGACCGUCGUUGAAGGGCCCUAACGGGCUUUUCUCUGAUAGAAACUGUUUU
rnacentral:rRNA from 1 species